ensembl:lncRNA
GCACAGAGUCGGCGCUGACGGACGGCGCUCUGACACCUGCUCUGACACGGACCUGCACGACCUUUUGCGUGGAACAGACUUCCACAAAGCCCUUUAGCAGGGUACUCGGGUCAUUCCCUUGUCCCCCUUCCUCCUGCCUCUCCCCCCUCUCCCCUCCCCACUCUUCCCUCCUCCUCUUCCCUUCUCCUCUCCCUCCUCCUCUCCCUCCUCCCUCCUCCUCUCCCUCCUCCCUCCCCCUCCUCCCUCAUCUCCCUCCUCCCUCCUCCCCCUCCUCCCUCAUCUCCUCCUCCCUCCCUCCUCCUCCUCUCCUCCUCCCUCCUCCUCUCCCUCCUCCUCCCCCUCCUCCCUCAUCUCCCUCCUCCUCCCUCCCCCUCCUCCCUCAUCUCCCUCCUCCCUCCCCCUCCUCCCCUCCCUCCUCUCCUCCUCCCUCCUCCUCCUCCUCCCCCUCCUCCCCCUCUCCCUCCGCCCUCCCCCUCCUCCCUCCUCCUCCUCUCCCUCCCUCCCUCCUCCCUCCUCCUCUCCCUCCUCCUCCUCCUCCCCCUCCUCCCUCCCCCUCCUCCCCUCCUCCUCCUCUCCCUCCCCCUCCUCCUCCCCCUCUCCCUCCUCCCCUCCUCCUCUCCCUCCUCCUCCCUCCCCCUCCUCCCUCCUCCCUCCCUCCUCCCCCUCCUCCCUCAUCUCCUCCUCCCUCCUCCCCCUCCUCCCUCCCUCCUCCUCCUCCCCCUCCUCCCUCCUCCCCUCCCUCCUCCUCCCCCUCCUCCCUCCCCCUCCUCCCUCCUCUCCUCCUCCCUCCUCUCUCCUCCUCCUCUCCCUCCUCCCCUCCUCCUCCUCCCUCCUCCCCCCCCCUCCUCCCUCAUCGCCCUCCUCCCUCCCUCCCCCUCCUCCCUCAUCUCCCUCCUCCUCCCCCUCCUCCCUCCCCCUCCUCCUCCUCCUCUCCUCCUCCUCUCCUCCUCCCUCCUCCCUCCCUCCUCCCUCCUCCCUCCUCCCCCUCCUCCCCUCCUCCUCCCUCCCCCUUCCUCCUCCCUCCUCCCUCAUCUCCCUCCUCCUCCCCCCUCUCCCUCCUCCCCCUCCUCCCCCUCCUCCCUCAUCUCCCUCCUCCUCCCUCCCCUCCUCCCUCCUCCUCUCCCUCCUCCUCCCUCCCCCUCCUCCCUCCUCCCCCUCCUCCCCUCCUCCUCCCUCCUCCCCCCUCCCCCUCCUCCCUCCCUCCUCCCUCCUCCCUCCUCCGCUCCCUCCUCCUCUCCCUCCUCCCUCCUCCUCUCCCUCCUCCCUCCCCCUCCUCCCUCAUCUCCUCCUCCCUCCCCCUCCUCCCUCCGCUCCCUCCUCCCUCCUCCGCUCCCUCCUCCUCUUCCCUCCCCUUUCUUCCUCCUCCUCCUCUUCCCUCCCUCCUCCUCUCCCUCCUCCCCCCCCCCUCCUCCCUCAUCUCCCUCCUCCCUCCCUCCUCCCCCUCCCUCCUCUCCCUCCUCCCUCCCUCCCCUCCUCCCUCCCUCCCUCCCUCCCUCCUCCGCUCCCUCCUCCCUCCCCCUCCUCCCUCAUCUCCUCCUCCCUCCUCCCCCUCCUCCCUCAUCUCCCUCCUCCCUCCCCCUCCUCCCUCCGCUCCCUCCUCCCUCCUCCUCUCCCUCCUCCUCUCCCUCCUCCUCCUCUCUCCUCCUCCCUCCCUCCCUCCCUCCUCUCCCUCCCUCCUCUCCCUCCUCCUCUCCCUCCUCCUCCCUCCUCCCCCUCCUCCCUCCCCCUCCUCCCUCCUCCCCCUCCUCCCUCCUCCCUCCCUCCCUCCUCUCCCCCUCCUCCCUCCUCCUCCCUCCUCCUCCCCCUCCUCCCUCCUCCCCCUCCUCCCUCAUCUCCCUCCUCCCGCCCCCUCCUCCCUCCUCUCCCUCCUCCCUCCUCCUCUCCCUCCUCCCCUCCUCCUCCCUCCCUCCCUCCCUCCCUCCCUCCUCCCCUCCUCCCUCAUCUCCCUCCUCUCCCUCCCUCCCUCCCCCUCCUCCCUCCUCUCCCUCCUCCCCCUCCUCCCCCCUCCCUCCUCCUCCCUCCCCCUUCCUCCUCCCUCCUCCCUCCUCCCUCCCUCCUCCUCUCCCUCCUCCCUCCUCCCCCUCCUCCCUCCUCCUCCCUCCUCCUCCUCUCCUCCUCCUCCCUCCUCCGCUCCCUCCUCCCUCCCUCCCUCCCCCUCCUCCCUCCGCCCUCCUCCUCCCCCUUCCUCCUCCCUCCUCCCCCCUCCCUCCUCCCUCCCCCUUCCUCCUCCCUCCCCCUUCCUCCUCCUCCUCCCUCCCUGCCUCUUCUUUCCCUCCUGCCUCCUCAUCCUCCCUCUUGCCUCCCUC